UACGGGGGGAGCAAGCGUUGGUUCGGAUUUACUGGGCGGAUAAAGGGCGCAGGUAGGCGGCCAUCCGCGAAGUCGACUGUGAAAAUCUCCGGGCUUAACCCGGAAAGGUCAGCCGAUACUGGCGGGGCUAGAGUGCAGAAGGGGCAACUGGAAAUUCUCGGUGUAGCGGUGAAAUGCGUAGAUAUCGAGAGGAACACCUGCGGCGAAGGCGGGUUGCUGGGCUGAUACUGACGCUGAGGCGCGAAAGCUAGGGGAGCAAACGGG
rnacentral:rRNA from 1 species